rnacentral:lncRNA from 10 species
CUACUUGAAGCUUAUUUUAUAGAUAACAUACUUAACUGUUAACAGAUUCAGUUAGCUGUUUACAGUUUAGUUAACUGGAUAUAGUUCUCAACCCACAUGGGGUCAGUCAUUUUCAACAAAUCUUUUUAUUUUCUCUAUAGAAUUCAGAGUUCAAGAGCUCCUUAAAGGAUACACAAAACUGUCAUCAGUAGUUAAGAUUUCGGUGGUCUGGGGGUGAAUUCCAGGUAGCAAGAGAAGAGUCUAAGGAGCAGCAGGCAACGUGCUGAAGUGCAGAGCCAGGUCAAGGCU